CUAAUACCGCAUAAGACCACAGUACUGCAUGGUACAGUGGUAAAAACUCCGGUGGUAUGAGAUGGACCCGCGUCUGAUUAGGUAGUUGGUGAGGUAACGGCCCACCAAGCCGACGAUCAGUAGCCGACCUGAGAGGGUGACCGGCCACAUUGGCACUGAGACACGGCCCAGACUCCUACGGGAGGCAGCAGUGGGGAAUAUUGCACAAUGGGCGAAAGCCUGAUGCAGCGACGCCGCGUGAAGGAUGAAGUAUUUCGGUAUGUAAACUUCUAUCAGCAGGGAAGAAAAUGACGGUACCUGACUAAGAAGCCCCGGCUAACUACGUGCCAGCAGCCGCGGUAAUACGUAGGGGGCAAGCGUUAUCCGGAUUUACUGGGUGUAAAGGGAGCGUAGACGGCUGUGCAAGUCUGAAGUGAAAGGCAUGGGCUCAACCUGUGGACUGCUUUGGAAACUGUGCAGCUAGAGUGUCGGAGAGGUAAGUGGAAUUCCUAGUGUAGCGGUGAAAUGCGUAGAUAUUAGGAGGAACACCAGUGGCGAAGGCGGCUUACUGGACGAUGACUGACGUUGAGGCUCGAAAGCGUGGGGAGCAAACAGGAUUAGAUACCCUGGUAGUCCACGCCGUAAACGAUGACUACGAGGUGUCGGGUAGCAAAGCUAUUCGGUGCCGC
rnacentral:rRNA from 1 species